GACGAACGCUGGCGGCAGGCUUAACACAUGCAAGUCGAGCGCCGUAGCAAUACGGAGCGGCAGACGGGGGAGUAACGCGUGGGAACGUGCCUUUUGGUUCGGAACAACUCAGGGAAACUUGAGCUAAUACCGGAUAAGCCCCGAGGGGGAAAGAUUUAUAGCCAAAAGAUCGGCCCGCGUCAGAUGAGGUAGUUGGAGGGGUAACGGCCCACCAAGCCGAUGAUCUGUAGCUGGUCUGAGAGGACGAUCAGCCACACUGGGACUGAGACACGGCCCAGACUCCUACGGGAGGCAGCAGUGGGGAAUAUUGGACAAUGGGCGCAAGCCUGAUCCAGCCAUGCCGCGUGGAUGAAGAAGGCCCUAGGGUUGUAAAGUCCUUUCGGCGGGGACGAUAAUGACGGUACCCGCAGAAGAAGCCCCGGCUAAUUUCGUGCCAGCCGCCGCAGUAA
rnacentral:rRNA from 1 species